rnacentral:rRNA from 1 species
AGCGAACGCUGGCGGCAGGCCUAACACAUGCAAGUCGAACGAACUCACCGGAGUUAGUGGCGGACGGGGGAGUAGCACGGCGGAAGGGGCCGGUUGGUUCGGAAUAACUCAGGGAAACUUGUGCUAAUGCCGAAUGUGCCAUGCGGGGAAAGGAUAUAACGCACUUGGUGCGGCCGGCGUCUGAUUAGCUAGUUGGGGGGGUAAGGGCUGACCAAGGCGUCGAUAAGUAGCUGGUCUGAGAGGCAGGCCCGCGACACUGAGACUAGGCCGCGGCCGAGACUCCUACGCGAUGCAGCAGUGGGGAAUCUAGCGCUAUGGGGGAAGGCAUGAAGCACCCAGGCCGCGUGAAUGAUGAAGGUCUUAGAAUUGUACAGUUCUUUCACCGGCGACGAUACUGACGGUACCCGAAGAAGAAGCCCCGGCUAACUUCGUG